GAACUGUGGCUUACAGUGCGGGUGGGC
rnacentral:piRNA from 1 species